rnacentral:lncRNA from 1 species
AGGUCUCUAUCAGGUCCCUCCCCUCAGAGAUUGGGGAAGCCCGUGAAGGAGGGUGAGGAAAGAGUAGGAGUCAGAGGGGAUGGAGGACACCAGGAGAACAGGGCCCACUGAAUCAACUAUGCUGAGUGUCAACAGAUGUUAAUAUUGGAUAAGCCUAAGAAAACGAUUUAAAUGUCAGGAAUGUGCUCUACGUGGAUAAAGGAAAAAAGAAUAAAAUGGGGCAAACAAUGAGACAGCACCUGCACUUCACACAAAUCCACGUCUGCUAACCACAAGGAGCCAACUAUGGAGACAUGACCAGAUUUAACAGCAAAGACUGUUACUGUAACUAUUAGGCGUAUGGAUAUUUGGCCUGCAUGUGUAUCUAUGUACCACAUGUGUACCUAAUGUCCUCAGAGACCAGAAAAGGCUUCCAGAUUCCCUAGGAACUCGUUCCAGGGGAUUGCCAUGUGAAUGUUGUGAACUGGACCUGAACCUGCAUCCUCUGCAAGAGCAGCAAGUGCUCCUAAGCUCAGCCAUCUCUCCAUUGACCGCCUCCACUGACUUUAUAUCUCCUCAGGAAAAUAGGUCACUAUUGAGCAUUUACAGCUUCCUGGAGAAACCUUCAUUUUUCAGUCACAGCCCUAAGAGGUUUUUGUCCCACAGUCUGACAAAACCUUUUGAAAUGACCUCUGGGGAAACUUUUGAAACUACUGAAUAUUCUAAUAGGCUAAUAGAAACAAAACAUCUGGAGAAUACGGACUGGGUAGCACUUUUUUUUCAUUCUGUUGGUCACUUAAACUCAGCUGGUAAUUCUAAUGACUCAGUUCAAAAUAAUUGGGUAGCUAUCUCAAUGCAGUGGUCUUAAAAUUGUAAUAGUGAACCAGUGACAUUGGCUAAGACAUGGGUAGAAAUGGAGAUUUCCCAAACUCUUCCCAUAUCUACCCCAUCACAUCAUCUUAAGGAUGAACCCAGAAAUAUAUGUUACCAAUUUAAAUUUGAGAACUAAUACAUAUAACAAUUAUAGUGUGUGUGUGUGUGUGUGUGUGUGUGUGUGUGUGUGUGUGUGUGUGUGUGUGCAAGCUUGCAGGCAUAGAGGUCAGAGAACAACUGAAUGUGUGAGGGUCAAAGGAAGCCAGUUCUCUCCUGUCACCUUGUGGGAUCCUGUAACACGAAUAAAUAAAUGACCCAGAGCA